rnacentral:rRNA from 1 species
GACGAACGCUGGCGGCGUGCUUAACACAUGCAAGUCGAACGGAAAGGCCUCUUUCGGGGGGUACUCGAGUGGCGAACGGGUGAGUAACACGUGAGUAACCUGCCCUUGACUUUGGGAUAACUUCAGGAAACUGGGGCUAAUACCGGAUAGGAGCUCCUGCUGCAUGGUGGGGGUUGGAAAGUUUCGGCGGUUGGGGAUGGACUCGCGGCUUAUCAGCUUGUUGGUGGGGUAGUGGCUUACCAAGGCUUUGACGGGUAGCCGGCCUGAGAGGGUGACCGGCCACAUUGGGACUGAGAUGCGGCCCAGACUCCUACGGGAGGCAGCAGUGGGGAAGAUUGCACAAUGGGUGGAAGCCUGAUGCAGCAACGCCGUGUGCGGGAUGACGGCCUUCGGGUUGUAAACCGCUUUCGCUCAUGACGAAGCUUUGUGUGACGGUAGUGGGUAAAGAAGCACCGGCUAACUACGUG